CAGCCAGGUCCCAUCUACUAUCCUUCUGACCCUAUGUAGCCAGGUCCCAUCUACUAUCCUUCUGACCCUAUGUAGCCAGGUCCCAUCUACUAUCCAUCUGACCCUAUGUAGCCAGGUCCCAUCUACUAUCCUUCUGACCCUAUGUAGCCAGGUCCCAUCUACUAUCCUUCUGACCCUAUGUAGCCAGGUCCCAUCUACUAUCCUUCUGACCCAGGUCCCAUCUACUAUCCUUCUGACCCUAUGUAGCCAGGUCCCAUCUACUAUCCUUCUGACCCUAUGUAGCCAGGUCCCAUCUACUAUCCUUCUGACCCUAUGUAGCCAGGUCCAUCUACUAUCCUUCUGAUCCUAUGUAGCCAGGUCCCAUCUACUAUCCUUCUGACCCUAUGUAGCCAGGUCCAUCUACUAUCCAUCUGACCCUAUGUAGCCAGAUCCCAUCUACUAUCCUUCUGACCCUAUGUAGCCAGGUCCCAUCUACUAUCCUUCUGACCCAGGUCCCAUCUACUAUCCUUCUAACCCUAUGUAGCCAGGUCCAUCUACUAUCCUUCUGACCCAGGUCCCAUCUACUAUCCUUCUGACUCUAUGUAGCCAGCUCCCAUCUACUAUCCUUCUGACCCAGGUCCCAUCUACUAUCCUUCUGACCCUAUGUAGACAGGUCCCAUCUACUAUCCUUCUGACCCUAUGUAGCCAGGUCCCAUCUACUAUCCUUCUGACCCAGGUCCCAUCUACUAUCCUUCUGACCCUAUGUAGCCAGGUCCCAUCUACUAUCCUUCUGGCCCUAUGUAGCCAGGUCCCAUUUACUAUCCUUCUGACCCAGGUCCCAUCUACUAUCCUUCUGACCCUAUGUAGCCAGGUCCCAUCUACUAUCCUUCUGACCCAGGUCCCAUCUACUAUCCUUCUGACCCUAUGUAGCCAGGUCCAUCUACUAUCCUUCUGACCCUAUGUAGCCAGGUUCCAUCUACUAUCCUUCUGACCCUAUGUAGCCAGGUCCCAUCUACUAUCCUUCUGACCCAGGUCCCAUCUACUAUCCUUCUGACCCUAUGUAGCCAGGUCCCAUCUACUAUCCUUCUGACCCUAUGUAGCCAGGUCCCAUCUACUAUCCUUCUGACCCAGGUCCCAUCUACUAUCCUUCUGACCCUAUGUAGCCAGGUCCCAUCUACUAUCCUUCUGACCCAGGUCCCAUCUACUAUCCUUCUGACCCUAUGUAGCCAGGUCCCAUCUACUAUCCUUCUGACCCAGGUCCCAUCUACUAUCCUUCUGACCCUAUGUAGCCAGGUCCCAUCUACUAUCCUUCUGACCCUAUGUAGCCAGGUCCCAUCUACUAUCCUUCUGACCCUAUGUAGCCAGGUCCCAUCUACUAUCCUUCUGACCCUAUGUAGCCAGGUCCCAUCUACUAUCCUUCUGACCCUAUGUAGCCAGGUCCCAUCUACUAUCCUUCUGACCCUAUGUAGCCAGGUCCCAUCUACUAUCCUUCUGACCCUAUGUAGACAGCACCCAUCUACUAUCCUUCUAUCAGUGGAAUGUCUGGUAGAAGCAGAGUAUGAUAAGGAGAUGAAUAGUUACACCAGCUCUGUCAGGAGGAAUGGGACAAAAUUCUCCCAAAUUAUUGUGGGAAGCUUGUGGGGGCUACCCAAAACAUUUGAUUCAAGUUAAACAAUUUAAAAGCAAUGCUACCAAAUACUAAUUGAGCAUGUGUAAACUUCAGACUCACUGGACAUGCAAUGAUGAAAUAAAAGCUGAAAUAAAUCAUUCUGUCUACUAUUAUUCUGACAUUUCACAUUCUUAAACUAAAGUGGUGAUACUAACUUACCGAAGUCAGGGAAUUUUUACUAGGAUUAAAUGUCAGGAAUUAUGAAAAACCGAG